rnacentral:rRNA from 1 species
AUUGAACGCUGGCGGCAUGCCUUACACAUGCAAGUCGAACGGCAGCACGGGGCAACCUGGUGGCGAGUGGCGAACGGGUGAGUAAUGCAUCGGAACGUGCCAUUGAGUGGGGGAUAACGUAGCGAAAGUUGCGCUAAUACCGCAUAUUCUGUGAGCAGGAAAGCAGGGGACCGCAAGGCCUUGCGCUCUUUGAGCGGCCGAUGUCAGAUUAGCUAGUUGGUGAGGUAACGGCUUACCAAGGCGACGAUCUGUAGCGGGUCUGAGAGGAUGAUCCGCCACACUGGAACUGAGACACGGUCCAGACUCCUACGGAGGCAGCAGUGGGGAAUUUUGGACAAUGGGCGCAAGCCUGAUCCAGCCAUGCCGCGUGAGUGAAGAAGGCCUC